rnacentral:lncRNA from 1 species
UCACCGCCCUGUUGUUUGUAUGUUAGUGGGGUUUGCUUGGUGUCGUUUGCAUCGUUUCGGUGUCUGACUCGGGAGAGGAAAGUUUAUCGUCUGAAAUCCCAUGCUUGUCUUAGCUGUUUACGGUGCAGUAUAUACAAACGGUGUCGGUUCCUGUUUUGUGCUUGUAAAUUAGUAGGAAGGAAAAGGUGGACUGAAUCCUUGGUAGUUCCCUGAAAUUAGAGUAGGUUCUUUUUUAAAGCCGCCCUGAGGGCAUAUUUCUAGGAAGUAAUAUGAAGAAACCAAAAGUUUAUUUUUGUCGUUUCCACAGGUGGUGUAGCAUAGGUUUUGUGAAUCAUAAAUGGUACUGUGAGAUCCUCAAUUUUAUUUUUAUUUAUUUUUCAUUUGCUAGAUUUAAUUUUAAUUUUUUUUUUUUUUUGAGAUCCUCAGUUUUAGAUCCAAGUGUCUCCAAUCCUCUCUUUUCAUGAACAGUUAUUACUGAAUAGAUGGUGGCAUUUAAACUGGGACUCCUGCCCUGGUCCUCUAACUUUCAGUACAAAGAAGAGACCAUUCUUUCUUGAUCUGCCUAGAUCUCCAUUGGUCGUCUUCUUUUUUUAAUGUUUAUGUAUUUUUUUUUAGAGCGAGAGAGCAUGAGUGGGGGAGGAGCAGAUAGAGAGGGAGACACAGAAUCCGAAGCAGCCUCCAGGCUCUGAGAUGUCAGCACAGAGCAGAUGUGGGGCUCAAACACACCCUGAGCUCAAGUCGGACACUUAACUGACUGAGCCACUCAGAUGCCCUUCCACUCCUCUUCUACCAUUUGCAUUGGCCUGCCUAGUCCUUAAGAUAAACUGUCAAAAGCACAUCUUUGCUAUAUACUUAAAGACUUCCAUGCAAGUCCUUUAUCACCCUCCUUUAUACUUUUGCUGGCCAUGCAUCUUUUCUAUAUAUAAAUUUUAGACCCAACACCAGCCAUAUUGUAUGCCAUAUUAGACCAUUUUUGCACAUUUUUUCUAAUCUUAACCACCCCUAUAUUCUACGUAUUACAUGUAAGGUAAGUUUUGCGUACUGGAAAGUUUUAUGUUAUUUGCCUAAGACCACAGAGCUAGGUAGUUAGCAGCUGUGCCAGAAUAUCCAACAUCUAUUUUCAGUAGGAAAUAGCAACUGAUAACUCAUUCCAUAUAUCCCUUAUAGAUGAGUUUCUAAGAGCCUAGUGUUUGGGGCCAAGUUGUAUAAUGGAAGAUUAGUUUCCUUUCUCCAUUCAACCAACCAACCAACCAACCAACCAAACAACUUGGUGUGGUCAGUAGAAAUUUGAACUUCCAGAUCUGAAUUGCAGCUGUGAGCAGAUGUUAGGAAGUAAUUAGUGGGGGUGGUAUAGCAUCUAGUCGUCUGAUAGAUCUAGGCGGAGACUUCUGUAGGUGUGUGAUUGUUCAUAGAAGAAAACAACUGACUUUAUGUACUCAUUCAGUCUUCUCUCUUGCUGAAAAAUUGGCAGCACUGUGAACUUCCGAGUGGGACCAGAAGAGGAACUUGCCACUACAUGAAUACCAAGAAAGGAACAAACUGCGCACGUUUCAGAGUGUUGAGUGGGCCUCUGGUCCACCUAAGAUACCCUGAGAACAUAGCCAAUGAGGAUCACUCUAAUUCUCCUCUAACACUUCUUCAACCCAAUGUCUUGGUGCACCCUUUUAGGGCCUUCAACUCAGCAGGUAUGUGGGUUGACAGAGGUUGGUUAGUGCUGCUCAGUAAUUGAGGGUUGGGUGUGGGAGGAUUUUCACCCUUAUGGCUGCCUGACUACAUUUGUCCCUUGGAAACUCAGGCUCAGUAUUUAAAGAUCCUUAUGUAUGAACCGUUACUUUGGGUAAGUUACUGUUAAAUCAAGAUAAGACAACAGAACUUAGAAAUGGGAAGUUACCUUUUUAUCUUUCGUCCGUCAGUCUUUCUUUCAGAGUUAUAUUUGUAUCAUGAAAGCAUUCACCUGCAAAUGGUUUCUUGGAAAAAUGUAUGAAAAAUAGAAGGACUAUCUGCUCUCCUCCAAAUUUCUUGGAUCCCUUCAGGCAUCACUUGGGGUCCCCUGUUUGUGUUAGUACCUGUCUGUGAGUGUGGCAGCUGACGAGGGCAGGAGGGAGGCCGCUCUGUGUCUUCCUCCUUAUUUCAUGUGCUGCUGUUCCCGAGGCCUGGCUUGAAAAAAGCAGGACAUUCGGCUUAGACAGAUGGAGGGCAGGGUCAUUUUCAAAAUGAAAUGAGUGCACAAAUCACACUGUGAAAUUGGCAUGACCAUCACUGCUGCUGUGAUAGACUGACUUUUAUUUAGUUAUGAUGGGCAGUUGGGGAAUAGAUUAGGUUUUUGGAUGGGGGAGGGGCCGCAGUGAAAGAAGGCCCUUUAAUUAAUGAGAGAAAUUCUGGAAAGCAAUAAAUGGGGUGGAAUAUUAUAAAAUGUCAUAAAAGACCAUUUUGUUUCCAACAGAAUCUUGAAAACUGGAGCAUGUAUCAAAAAGUAAAUGUAUCGUACCAUUGCUAGCAAUAAGAAAGCAUUUGGUGGUUGCAAUAAAAUGAUUUAGUGCCUUAUUGAAAGAAACUAGGCUUUGAGAAAAUGGAGUUGGACUCGGUGAAUUUUGCUGCAAAAAGGAAGGCAUGUUCACCAUGUAGAAGAAUUCCAUUUAGGCAAAAUGUGUAGGAGCUAAAAGCAUGAUGCUUGGUUCUUCAUAUGCUUAUGUUUCUGCCUGCCAAAGCAUGAGAUGAUCAAAUCCUAUUCUAUUUGUACAUAUAAUCUGUCUGGCAUUCUCUUGUAAAACAGUUGGAAGGUAUGAUUUCUUAUUUAUCCUUUACGUGUGAUCAUGUCCUGUUGGUAAACCGGUCAUUUCUGAACAUCCCAACUACCACAGCUGGUGUCAGACAUCUUUCUUGAUAAAGGAAGACCUUCUGAAAAAACCACUUUUCAGUUGUUAUUUUUUUUCCCCUUCUCAUUUCAGGCCAUUUUCUUCAGGAUGGCCAGUUUCAGGGGCUCAGUUACCUUGCUUCCUCUCAACAGUAAACAGGGAAAAAUAAUAAAUUAGUACCAAAUUGGUAAUGUAAUUGACUUUUAGAAGCAUCCCUUCCAUCUUUUAAUACUUUUGGAAAGGUUGUAUACCAAAUCAAUACUUGGGGACAUGUAUGCUCAGACAUUUAACCUCAUUAUGAACUCUGUUUUUGCUGCUGGUUUCAGCUCUGUUAUUUUCAUUAGAUUUCUUUCUUGGAUAUACCUUAUUUUUUUUUUUUAUCAAGUAGCUUAUAUUUAGGUGCUUACAGUGUUAGCACUGUUACCUAAACUUGUCAGGGAGAACACAAUAGCAUUAUAGUUUAUAAAUGGAGUUAGUAGGGAAGGCACAACUGUGGAUACUGGUAUUUGAAGAAAGCGAUCAGCCAUCCAAACAAAGAGCUACUCUAAGCCUUGUGUUUAUACAGUACUUUCUGUACCAGGACCAGGUCCUGCUUUGCCUAACUUCCCUCAUUAAUCCUCACAGCCCUUCUGUGAAUUAGGUGACUCUUAUUUUUGGCCCCACUGGAAAACUAUGGACUGCAAAGCACAAAAGGAAGCCUGUGGUUGCAGCAGCCCGCCCGUGGGGGCUGGCGAUUGCUUAAGCUGGCCAGUAGGGGCCACACUGCACCUCUUCCCUCUCUCCCCCUGGGCACCUCCUCUCCAGUCCUUUGAAUUGGCUUUGGAUCAUUUGCUGCAGUUUGUUCUAAUAGAACAGGCACAAUGGUGUAAGAAUUUUAAAGUUUAAGCACCGAAGCCGUUGUGUAAUUGUAUGGCGUCAGUGUGGCCGGCAGCCCUGCAUUGAUGCGAUCCCCCUGUGUAAUUGCCCAUGCAAAUUCGAGCGGUCUGUAAGGGAUGCAGAAACCCAUGUUUGGCUACAGAUUCUUCUCCCCCAGAAAAUCUAAUAACUCGAAGAACCUUUUGUCAUCUUUAAAAUGCACCAUGGACAGGGAUGUCUCAGUAUCCCUCUCAUAGGGGCAGACAUCACAGAUCAAGGUUAAUGGGCUAAAUUCACAGCCAAAAUUUAAAUUGUAGGUAAUCAGAUGCAUGCUUUCCUCUUUCAGACUUUAAAUCACCCUUCACAAGAGAAAUAAAGAUUAUUCCAGAGGUUUAGUUAAACUUUAAGCAUUUUAUUAAAAACCAAGAUAGUUAGGUCUCUUAAAGCAGACUGUUUCAAACUCAUGAAUUAGUUGCCUGUGAAAUUGCUUGCAAUCUGUAAUGUAGUAUUCUUACAAUGAAACAUCAGCCUGACAAAUCUGUACAAAGCCAGUGACUUCAAACAAUUCAGCUGAAGACAUAUUUCCCUCCUUUUGUGUAAAACAAUAGUAAUUAGGAAGCACAUCCAGAGGGGAUCCUUUUUAGAUUAUUGUAUAUCAAAAUAAAAUGGCAAAAGCAAUUUUCUCUCAUGGGAAUGAGACUUAACAAAACCUCAUCUCUUAUUUCCGUACUAUGCCCUUCCUUCCUCGUUCCCUCCCUUCUUUCCUCUCUCCCUUUUUCCUUCCUUCCUUCCUUCCUUCCUUCCUUCCUUCCUUCCUUCCUUCCUUCCUGUAAUUCAUGUAAACAUGAUUUAAUAUAAAUCUAAAGAAAACAAAUUGAGGUUCUAAUACACACAUAUAUACAUAUAGAAAGUGAACACAAAGAUAAAUCAUGGCCUCAAAUAGCACAUUUUUAUCACAGAAAAUACUUCAUUUACUUGAUAAACAUAUUUCUGUACCAGUGUAUACAUUGAACAACAUUGGUAUAGAUACGCUGCACAGAAACAAUUAAUCUUUAGCCCUGUUGAGAGACGUGCCAAAUAUGCAAGAACAUUCAAAAUUAAAUUAGGGAAGAUGUAACCCAAAAUUGAUAGCUGAGGAAAAGGUAGUAAUGCAAACAAUGUAAGCAGGACACCGGGCAUUGCUGAACCUGUGCUUGUCGUGACAUUCCCUGGACACGCUUCAUCUUGUUUCUGUCCUCCCUGUGUUUUAUUCUAUUACUGCUCACUUAUGAAACUUAUGAAAUUCUGGCUUUCUUGUAGCCAGACCCAACUUUUAAAUUUCCUGCUACAUUUGAGUUUUGGGAGUUCUUUACAGCAAGUGGCAGAACAGCUGUUUCAGAGACUGUUAUUCUGAAGCAGACAAUGAGACUUCACGGCACUGGCAUUGCCGGAGUUUUUAGGGUCCUAAAUUAGGUUUUGUUCUGUUGUUUAAUGAAUUCUCUUGGAGUUUUUAUUUUUUCUAGGCCAUACAUUUUUCUUUAGAUUUAAAUCUUCCCUAACAUGUUUAGAUUUCUGUCUUGCUUGAAGGGAGUUUUUCCCACUAUUACUGGGGGUGAGAUGUAUUUUACCUUUCUGCAAUUCAUUAAGAGUCAGCAGGAGAAAUGGAUUUUAAAAUAAUUGUACUGCAAAGUAAAUUGAGCAGACUCUGUUUAAUGACCUAAGGUAAGUGGAUAAAGUAUGAUAAAUUUUGAUACAUGAAAAAAGCAACUGAAUUCCUGUAGCAUUAAUAUUAGAUGAUAUUGCUAUUACACUAACAAAAAUUUAAAGAUUAUUUCUAACCCAACCCAACGUGUAUGCAAAUAUAAAAUACCUGCAAAUGUAUAGACAUCUCAGAUUUUAGAAAUAAAAAACAUAUGCAAUUUUAAUUUCACUUGAUUCACUUUAUAAAUUGACUUCUAAAUUAAACCAACUGCCAUUUAUGGGAUAUCUAGCUAUGAGAUAAUCUAAAGUUGUCCCUUAUGAAGUAAAAGGGUACAUUUUUAAAAAGCUGUACUGACAACCAUAUCUUUCAUGAUCACUAGAGGCAGGCUCAGACAUAUAUGUGGUAGGGGUGUUUUAUAUCUACCCCAUAUAUGUAACUUUUUAUUUUGUCUUUGGAGAGAAGAUGACCUCUUUAGGUUUGUUCCUAUUGUGUUUGAGAAGAGUAAGUAAGACAAUUAUGUGGAAAAUAUUUUAAAAAUUAAAUACAGGUUGGUCCUCUGUUGUAGAAGUGAACCGAAUAAAGCCAGUGCUUUUAUUUUACAGGUGCAGAACCCAAGACCUGGAGGGUCCCAAGAGAACAGGUCAAACUGGUGGCCAAGUCGGGGGCCAGGGCCCGUCUAUUGUGCAUCCUGUGGUGACCUUUGUAGUUUGCACGUGAUCUCUCCUGGCCAGUAUCAUAAGCUACACUGUGGGUUGUGCAUGUGUUGUCUACGUAUCGACUACUAAGAAAAUAAAUAACAUGUCUGAAAAAACAUAUCAUGUGGAGAAGGUAGGAUGAAGUCCUUUCAGCCAUUAAUGCCAGGAGCCCCAAGGAAGCAAACAUAGUCUGGUCAGCUGAAGGUUUUAUAAGAAGGCUCACAUUUCAAAUGCCUUCCUCCAGUAGGAAACAACCAUUAAUGAUAAGGACUGAGAAAAUGUCUCUUUAUUGUAGGAAAGCAAAAUAUAUAAUCACACAUACCUCUCAGUCUUGGAAAAUCAUGCCUUAUUUAGAAAAGGGCUUGAAAAUAUCUCAAACACCCAAGUGUUCAGC